GUCUCCUGAUGCUGUGAAAACAAGCAAAAGAAAUCUACACUUUUCUACUGCUCCCUCAUGAAAGACUGGUCUUUGGGCAAGUUUACAACCUAUUGGAGAUCGUCACUGCAAGGGCGAACAGACCAUUCAGAACUCAACUUUCUGAGCAAUGACUCGUGAACAGGUUGAACUGGAAUAAGAACAUUCGCCAAGUACAAGGUACAACAUAAGAAAAAAUCUCUGCAAAUACUUGUGAGAGAACUGCAAUUACACUGACUAGAAGAUUUAUCUCUCACCUGCCUAUAACAAUAUUCAGAUGGGAUUUUCAUAAUAUACCAACACAAUCAACAUCUGAGUUACAGUUAUUGACAUAGCAUGUCUGUGAUUUCAUGUACUGAAAAGUAUUGUAUGUACUAAGCCCCGUUCACACCAAGAACGAUAACUAUAAAGAUAACGAUAUUAGCGUCCACACCAGCGAACGAUAUCGUCUGUUUAUUCUAAGCGCACAUGCGUCUGCCGCUUUAAAUUCUUGAGCUCGUUACAGCAGGAUGGAU
rnacentral:lncRNA from 1 species